GACUUUACGCUACAAUCUAAAUUGAGAGAUGGAAAAGAAGUGGCUCUCCACAGCUUGUCCUUGGGAGCUAGGCAAGAUGCAACUGUUCCAAUAGGCUCUAUAAAGAAUCUGGGAGGGGGCAGGGUGAUCUUUCCAUUCCCCAAACCAGGAAGAGCUUUGCUUCUCAGAACUGCUUGGCUGUUGUCUUGUGACUCCCUGAAUAUUUGAGGUUUCACAAGUGCAUCCAGGGAAAGCUCAAAAAGGAUUCACACCUACAAACAAAACAGAAGGGGCUUCAUCGCUAAAGAAGUGCCCACCUCCAAUGCUAAGAAACACAGUGACCAAGGUCUCCUAGCAGGGAGAAAGAGCAUGAAACUGCCUUUGCUCCUUCCUAUGAGUCACCCUCUUUUACUGAGAAGGGACAGAAUGCUUCGUACUAAAGCUGCACAGACUUUGGUGUGGCUUCAGUUUUUCCACCUAUGAUAAAGCAUGGUAUUCCAUGGGACUCUGAUAGCAGAUGCAGUAAACAGAUGUGUUCCAACACAGAAACUGGGUGGAAAACUCCAUCAAGGCUUCAGGACACACCGAUCUAUUGGCUUGUCAGCUCUCCCUGGACAACUCAGCACCACCCCUGUCCUUGAAAACAACGCAGACUCUCCUGAACCCUACUGUAUGUCAUGUACUCAAUCUCCCCCAGGCAGGUGACUCAAUCAUGUGUCAGGUAACAAAGAGAGAGUGGAUAAUCCUACGGUAACUAAAAACAUUUAGAGAGGACUCCUAUAGAGAGACAUAUUCCAAGUUAGCACACAGAGGGCAUCGUUACAUGAGCUGACAUCCCCUUCACCAUGAAAUGGGGGAUAGACUGAGAGGUACCCUCUUCAACCAGUAUGAAUAUUCCAUGUCCAUUAGCCACAGUGAACCCUUGCACAUGACUCCUAUGGCUUCAAACAGGACAGAAGGCAAGAGACCAGUCACUACAGAGACUCCUCAAAUUUUUCAAGAACUAGGUCAGAAUCUAUUAUAGUUCAGUAGUAGCUUAUUUAGCACGCUCAUCGUCUGGGAUUGAUACCUGCUACCACAUACAUGAGAAAAUAAGUAGCUACAACCUAAAAGAAUCUAUGAGAACCACCUCCAUCUAGGUAGGUAAACUAGGUAAACAUGUUCAUGUAAACACUGACCAGGGCUGGGGACAGGGACAAGGAUCCAGCUAAAUACUGACGCAUGAACCACUUUUUCCUUCCUUGCUGACUUCAUUACCAAUUCUAUUAAGACAGUUUGUCUAGAAUCCCCCUUACCCUUAAUGGUUUUGUUUCAUUAAGUUUCCAUCUCUGGGAUAGAUCCUGAUGCUUGGUUAUUAGUUCUCAUUUCUCCCUGUUGCUACCCACACCUCUUGUUAGAGUCCAGAGUAAAGUCUGUCUUAGUAAUUUCCCUCUUGUGGGCCUAUCUUCAUUCCAGACCCCUGUGUUCUUCUAAUAGAAAUUGUAAAGGGAUGUAGACACACACAGCUGUCCAGACAGAGAGAAGCACAGAGCUGUCACUUGCAUCUUGGAUCAAGCAGCAAGAAUCCUGCUAGGUUGGUUUGACUAGAAUCCUCCAUCCUCCUUAUGUGACCACCGCCUAACAGACUUCUCACCAGCACCAGCCUCCAGGCGAUGUCUACACUCCACACCUUUCUUGAGCAAGCACCCUGUUAGGUCAGUUUGCCUGGAACGUCCCUUACCUUUGAUGUUUUCUCCUGGUAAAUUUCUAUCCUCUGAGCUCCACCCCGGCCCUUGGUGAUAAAUACCCACUGGUUCUUGUUUUCUGUACAUCUGUCAUGGUGGUCCUGUAUAAAGUCUACCUUGCUGUUUAACAAGCUUCAGUUAACAUCUUUUCUUCCAUAUCUUCACCUCUGAGGGAUAAUUCAACAGAUGAUGAAAAAAAAAAAAAAGGCAGAACAAAUUCUAGAAGUUUCUUCAGGAAAGCUCCUAAUGUGGUCACAGGACAUUUUCUUUUGUGCGUCUUCUGUCAAACUUUAGUUCAUAGCCACAUCUAAAUGUGCAGAAGCUAGUGAAUCUGUUCUUUCUUCUGUGCAGCCCUGUGCCAAGAUACUAACCCUACGGCCACUGAAGAAAGGGAGACCGGGUAUCGACAGUUUCUGUCCUGGGGAGUUCAGUGCAGUGCUUCAUCUCAGUUCUUUUCACCUUCUUUGAGUUAGGCCAGGGAACUUGAGAGGCUUUGGAUAACACAAGAUCUAGGAGGAAUUCACACAGAAAUUCUAUCCUUCCUCUUGAUUCCUUCCUAGUAGAAAUUCACAAGAAAAUGUCAGAAAGCCAAUAGUAGGGUUUAUAAGGAAGGAAGGUUACAAGGGAUGGGGCAUGAUAAUCUGAAAACAAAAGCUAAACCAACAUGUACAUAGUUAUGGUUCAGGGCAUAAAACUUAACCUAUGAUGUAAAAGAUAAUCAUUCAAAAAAUAUUGAUGGCACACAUAUUUAAUCCCAGUGCUUGGGAGGUCAAGGCAAGUGGAAAUCUGUGGGCUCAAGGCCAAACUGGUCUAUAUAGUGAGUCUAUAUAGUGAGUUCCAGACUAGCCAGGACUACAUAGUGAGGUGUGUGUGUGUGUAUGUGUGUGUGUGUCUGUGUCUGUGUGUGUCUGUUUCUGUGUGUCUCUGUGUGUGUGUGUGUGUCAGUGUGUCUUUGUCUAUGUGUGUGAGUGUAUAUGUCUAUGUGCUGAACCAGGGAUCAAGUCUAACUCUUUAGGAAGUGACAAUGUAAUAAUCUGCUAAAGAGAUUCAGUGUUUGGGGCUCCUACAACAAGCUCAAAAGGUGGGAGACUAAAGCUACUAUGUAGUCCUGGGCCCUGAUUGUUUCUGUUUAAAGUGAUCCCUUGUUUAUACAGGAGAAGCACACAUAUAAAGCAGGAAGUAUUGCUGACUUGAUAUUGCUGAGCCUUGCCCUAAUGGUGCAUAUGCCAUUUGUCUGAUAUGGCUGAGAAGGUUUUGUGAUUCUGGGCUCAUGGUCAGGCAUCAGUGUGUCAUUGCUGAAAGUCCGCAGAUGCCCUUCCAGAAAGAGACAUUUCCCGUUUUAACUCAGCUCUUUUGUGGCAGAAAUGAAUGUUCCAUGGGCAGCACGGCUUCAUUCUUCUCUGGGCAGGAAGGUCAGACAAAGCUUGGGUGUGGUGUAAGUCUGUGAAGGUGGGGUGGGAAAUCAGCAAGUGGUUCCACCUAUUGGAACCCUUUUAUAUUAAGUUUAUUAGAAUCUUGAGUAGAAGAAGCCAAGGGAACGUUUGGCUGGGGUGGAGUCCCAAAGUGGCCCAAGUCAUUUCCAAGAGUCAAAGAUAAAGAAAUGCCAUCUGAUUAGAAAGAGCAAACAGUUCCCUCUGCGCUCAAGUAGAGCUCUCAGUCUAGAUACCAUAGGGGAGAGCCAGGUAUGGAGUAAGCAGCAGAAAG
rnacentral:lncRNA from 1 species